rnacentral:rRNA from 1 species
UGGUUGAUCCUGCCAGUAGUGUAUGCUUUUCCUAAAGACUAAGCCAUGCAUGUUUUCGAAUAAGAGGAAGCAAUUCUCUCUGAAUCUGCGUACGGCUCCGCACACCAGUUGUAAACCGAAGCAAGCCAGACUGGUCUCGACGCCUCGCAAGGGGCUAGGGGCCAGUCUACAAGGAUAACCCUGGUAAUUCUGAGGCUAAUACGUGACACUAACCUGCUGACUGGGUUCGCUCGGGAGGCGGGGGAUGUGCGAUCGUCGGGCCAAACAAACCGGAAAGAGCGCACUUUCAGACCACGCAAAAAGGCUUUGAGGUCCUCCGGGACCGAGGGGCUGUGGCUCUUGCACUGUGCUUCUGACCUAUCAACUAGAUGGCAGCGUAAAGGACAUGCUUUGGUGACAACGGGUACAGAGGAUAAGGGUUCGAUCCUGGAGAGUGGGCCUGAGAGAUUGCUCAUACUUCUAAGGAAGGCAGCAGGCGCGCAACGUUCCCAUUGGACAUCGUCUGAGGGCGUUAGGGGAAAUAUUAAUACCUGCCCAUUGGGUGGGUAAUUAAAAUGGGUCUGUUCUAAACAGGCUCUCGAGUAACAAUUAGAGGACAAGUC